CUUGAAGAAAAUCUAUAAUCAUUUUUACAGUCAAACCGGAUUUUACAUAAGCAGUAUGAGUCAUGCUGAUCACUUUGCACACCUGGUCUAUUUUCGUGACACACUCUUCAUCCACUGUGACAUUGCCUGACAAAUGUGUUUUAAGCCGAAGUAAACAAGCAUUCGACUGUUUGUUUCCUUGCUGCCGGGGAACACUUGGGGAUUUGAUAGAUGUAUUGCCUAACAAUUCUUCAGUUACCACUGAAACUUCGACGGGCUUCUAGAUGGCGCACCAUGUCAUCAGCUUUAGGCUCUCGCAUCGAAUAAAACCACGAUUAUGAAAAAUAUUAGGCUAUGUAUCAAACAAUAUUUAGACUUAGUUUAUAAAAGAUACAAAAGUUUGGUGCAUGCGGAAGAAAAACACAGAAAUGACUAGUUGGAAAUGCUGGAUGACGUCAUGGUCGGUCCCAGUCAGCGGCCAUAUUGUAAGCGAGAGAGACGGUGGAGGAAGGUGUCGAUGGAUUGAGGAGAAUUACUAUCUUAAACAAGAAACGAUUGAUAUUAGGUACUUUUAGGCGUCGUCGAGAACUUUGCAAAAUAUAACAAUGGAUGACAAAACACAGAUGAAAGAGUUAAACCAGUGGAUAGACCAGUUGAUGGAGUGUAAACAGUUGGCGGAGAAUCAAGUCAAAACUCUCUGUGAAAAGGUAAGACCGGAUUAUUAUUUUAUCCCCCUUUAGGCUCCUCGUGUCUCCUCCCUGCUGAUUUUCGCAAAACACUGAUGCUCUUGGGGGCGCUGCAUAUUUCCCCCCGGAAGGCGACGAGGCAGGGGCGAGCGGGAGGCAGAGAGAAGGCAAAUAGGAGACGGCGGAGGAGAUGCUGCAGGACCCACACCCAGCGAGGCCGCCGCUGUCACGUCUCGCUUUUCAGCCGAAGAAGGCCUGGUCAUCGGCCUCCCUCUCUCCGCCUGGCUCGAAGCUCCGGAAUUGGGACCGGGGACAGUUGCGAUUUGCCCUCCUGCAGGGGAAGGGCGGCCCGGCGGUUGAGACGGCCUUGCAGAGGGAAUCGCAGGGCGCAAGAGCACGGGGACGUCCGGGUAGCCAUGACAAGUUCGCCCAAUGUUAUUCCUGCCUCGUUCAUUUCAUUCAGAGCGAAUGGAUUCUGCAAGAUGGGUUAUGUGAUAUAUUGAUCAUGGUAUCAGAAAUUUAAAGUAGUUAACAGCAAACACUUGAGAAUGAAAUCAAAGAAAGAACAUAACAUGAAUAAAAUAUUUUAAAGUGCUGUAUCCAUUACCAUGUGAAAAAAAAAUCAAAUUUCAAACCUUGGGUUUA